rnacentral:rRNA from 1 species
UACGUAGGGGGCUAGCGUUGUCCGGAAUCAUUGGGCGUAAAGCGCGUGUAGGCGGUCCGGUAAGUCCGCUGUGAAAGUCGGGGGGCUCAACCCUCGAAUGCCGGUGGAUACUGUCGGGCUAGAGUACGGAAGAGGCGAGUGGAAUUCCUGGUGUAGCGGUGAAAUGCGCAGAUAUCAGGAGGAACACCGGUGGCGAAGGCGGGUCUCUGGGCCGUAACUGACGCUGAGGAGCGAAAGCAUGGGGAGCGAACGGG